GACGAACGCUGGCGGCGUGCUUAACACAUGCAAGUCGAGCGGUAAGGCCUUUCGGGGUACACGAGCGGCGAACGGGUGAGUAACACGUGGGUGAUCUGCCCUGCACUCUGGGAUAAGCCUGGGAAACUGGGUCUAAUACUGGAUAUGACCUCAGCAUGCAUGUGCUGGGGUGGAAAGCUUUUGUGGUGCAGGAUGGGCCCGCGGCCUAUCAGCUUGUUGGUGGGGUAAUGGCCUACCAAGGCGACGACGGGUAGCCGACCUGAGAGGGUGACCGGCCACACUGGGACUGAGACACGGCCCAGACUCCUACGGGAGGCAGCAGUGGGGAAUAUUGCACAAUGGGCGGAAGCCUGAUGCAGCGACGCCGCGUGAGGGAUGAAGGCCUUCGGGUUGUAAACCUCUUUCAGUAGGGACGAAGCGUGAGUGACGGUACCUGCAGAAGAAGCACCGGCUAACUACGUGCCAGCCGCCGCUGUAACAC
rnacentral:rRNA from 1 species